UACGGAGGGUGCGAGCGUUGUCCGGAAUCACUGGGCGUAAAGGGCGCGUAGGCGGCCUGAUAAGUAGGGGGUGAAAUCCUGUGGCUUAACCGCAGGGCUGCCUUCUAAACUGUCAGGCUGGAGCACAGUAGAGGCAGGUGGAAUUCCAGGUGUAGCGGUGAAAUGCGUAGAUAUCUGGAGGAACACCGGUGGCGAAGGCGGCAUCCUGGACCGGUAUUGACGCUGAGGCGCGAAAGCCAGGGGAGCAAACGGG
rnacentral:rRNA from 1 species